AUUGAACGCUGGCGGCAGGCCUAACACAUGCCAGUCGAGCGGAUGAAGGGAGCUUGCUCCUGGAUUCAGCGGCGGACGGGUGAGUAAUGCCUAGGAAUCUGCCUGGUAGUGGGGGAUAACGUCCGGAAACGGGCGCUAAUACCGCAUACGUCCUGAGGGAGAAAGUGGGGGAUCUUCGGACCUCACGCUAUCAUAUGAGCCUAGGUCGGAUUAGCUAGUUGGUGGGGUAAAGGCCUACCAAGGCGACGAUCCGUAACUGGUCUGAGAGGAUGAUCAGUCACACUGGAACUGAGACACGGUCCAGACUCCUACGGGAGGCAGCAGUGGGGAAUAUUGGACAAUGGGCGAAAGCCUGAUCCAGCCAUGCCGCGUGUGUGAAGAAGGUCUUCGGAUUGUAAAGCACUUUAAGUUGGGAGGAAGGGCAGUAAGUUAAUACCUUGCUGUUUUGACGUUACCAACAGAAUAAGCACCGGCUAACUUCGUG
rnacentral:rRNA from 1 species